AGUGAACGCUGGCGGUAGGCCUAGCACAUGCAAGUCGAACGGCAGCACAGUAAGAGCUUGCUCUUACGGGUGGCGAGUGGCGGACGGGUGAGGAAUACAUCGGAAUCUACUUUUUCGUGGGGGAUAACGUAGGGAAACUUACGCUAUACCGCAAUCGACCUAACGGUGAAAGCCGGGGGUCUUCGGACCUUUCGCUGUUGCAUGAGCCGAUGUCGGAUUAGCUAGUUGGCGGGGUAAAGGCCCACCAAGGCGACGAUCCGUAGCUGGUCUGAGAGGAUGAUCAGCCACACUGGAACUGAGACACGGUCCAGACUCCUACGGGAGGCAGCAGUGGGGAAUAUUGGACAAUGGGCGCAAGCCUGAUCCAGCCAUACCGCGUGGGUGAAGAAGGCCUUCGGGUUGUAAAGCCCUUUUGUUGGGAAAGAAAAGCAGCAGGUUAAUACCCCGCUGUUCUGACGGUACCCAAAGAAUAAGCACCGGCUAACUUCGUG
rnacentral:rRNA from 1 species